CCGGCACGGGUGAGUAACGCGUAUCCAACCUGCCUUACACUCUUGGACAGCCUUCUGAAAGGAAGAUUAAUACAAGAUGGCAUCAUGAGUCCGCAUGUUCACAUGAUUAAAGGUGUUCCGGUAGACGAUGGGGAUGCGUUCCAUUAGAUAGUAGGCGGGGUAACGGCCCACCUAGUCUUCGAUGGAUAGGGGUUCUGAGAGGAAGGUCCCCCACAUUGGAACUGAGACACGGUCCAA
rnacentral:rRNA from 1 species